rnacentral:rRNA from 1 species
GUGAAGCGGCAACAGCUCAAAUUUGAAAUCUGGCCUCUUUGGGGUCCGAGUUGUAAUUUGUAGAGGAUGUUUCGGGUACCGCCUCGGUCUAAAUUUCUUGGAACAGAAUGUCAGAGAGGGUGAGAAUCCCGUCUUGGACCGGCGGUAGGGCCCAUGUGAAACUCCUUCGACGAGUCGAGUUGUUUGGGAAUGCAGCUCAAAAUGGGUGGUAUAUUUCAUCUAAAGCUAAAUAUUGGCCAGAGACCGAUAGCGCACAAGUAGAGUGAUCGAAAGAUGAAAAGAACUUUGAAAAGAGAGUUAAACAGUAUGUGAAAUUGUUGAAAGGGAAGCGCUUGCAACCAGACUUGAGCGCGGCGGUUCCCCCUUCCUUUUGGUUGGGUUACUCCGUCGUGUCCAGGCCAACAUCGGUUCUGGGGGUCGGUUAAAGGCUUGGGGAAUGUACCUACGUCUUCGGGCGUAGACUUAUAGCCCCGAGUGUCAUGCGACCUCCCGGGACCGAGGAACGCGCUUCGGCUCGGAUGUUGGCGUAAUGGUUGUAAGCGGCCCGUCUUGAAACACGGACCAAGGAGUCUAACAUCUAUGCGAGUGUUUGGGUGUCAAACCCGGAACGCGGAAUGAAAGUGAACGGAGGUAGGAAGCUUCGGCUGCACUAUCGACCGAUCCUGAUGUCUUCGGAUGGAUUUGAGUAAGAGCAUAGCUGUUGGGACCCGAAAGAUGGUGAACUAUGCCUGAAUAGGGUGAAGCCAGAGGAAACUCUGGUGGAGGCUCGCAGCGGUUCUGACGUGCAAAUCGAUCGUCAAAUUUGGGUAUAGGGGCGAAAGACUAAUCGAACCAUCUGGUAGC